GAGAGAGAGAGAGAGAGAGCAAAACACAAAAUUUUAAAUUCUAACAGAAGAUGAUCCAACAGCAUCAAGAACAUAAAAAGCAGGAGGAAGAAGUCUGAACUUUGACUCUCGCAUUUUUCUCCCGAUAAUAAUUUCUUAACACUAACUCUAUAUCAACUGUUUUGCAUAAUCAAGGGUAUUUUGGCACUGUGAUUGGAAGAAAUGGAUUUCCAUACAUAAAUUAGCAACUUCUGUUCACGUUUCACAUUGAAGACCACAACAGUAAACCAACAGAAAAAAAUAAAUAAAUAAAAAUCAAACAGUAUUGUGUACUUCCAAUAAGACCUAGCGUGAUUGGUCUCCUUAUCCCUUUACGCAUGUGGGGAGAGGGGUUUUAGGUUUGAGUCUCCCCAUCCAUCCAACUUGGCAAGAAUAGGGAGAAGAUUACGCUCUGUUGUAUAGACCAUGGCUUAUUUGGCCUCAUAAUGAACCAAAAAAAUUUUUUAGGAAAGACAGAAAGAAAAAGAACACAUUUGUAUGUAGCUUAUUUAAAAAAUUGUGCCAGAUGGAAUUAAGAUGGAAAGGAGGAAUCGGGAAAGUAUCACUAAUAAAGAAUAUCAUAUUUUCAUUUUCUUUAAUUUUCUAAGUCCCACACCCUUCAAAAAUAUAUUUUUUGAAAAAAAAAUUAUAAUAAACCUUCUUUUUCAAAUAAUUCAGAAUUAAAUUUACGCAAUAAGCCUUGCACAUACAAAUUUUCUAUACAUUAAAAAAAAUAAAGCUAAAGAACUUACAGGCACGUGUCAUGCACUUUCUCAGAACACAAUCACAAGUAGCAGAACGUCUAGCUUAAUUAUUCUCUCUCUCGUAUAAUGCAAGAAAAGAAAGCUAAUUGAAUUAGUUUUUAAUAAAAUAAAACGACAAGGUAUAAAAGCAAAACACAUGCCUUGAUGACUUGGAAAACUAUUAAAAAUGGAGUUCAAUUGUACUUGAAGCCUCGAUCAACCCAAGGAACUCCAUUUUAAUAAAUGCUAUAGAUUCAGUUCAUACAAAACACACAGAGUUGCAGAUUUGCUGUCACAGGCAAUAUUUAAAUUCUUCAAAAGGAGGGGUUUGGUUCCCUUCAAGAAUCAAGAAAACAAGUGUAUAUAUAAAAAUUGUACUUGAUCUUUCCUUCCGUAUUAUAAAGAGCAGCAUGAAUUUAUCACACUUGUAUAGCUCAAAACAAAGUUCCAUAAUUUGGCAGGCAAACCCACCACCUUUUUACUUAAAAGAAAAAAAAAAUCGCAGCAAGCAAUUAAACUAUGAAAUGGAGGAAGAAGAGUAGGAGAAGGAGAAGAUACUAUCGAGAAGUGCACAAGAGAAAAUAUUAUUUUAAUGAAAGGAAAAGAGAAAAUAGGGUCUCUCACAACCACCCAUGAAAGAAGAAAUACUAGUAGCUCCAAGUUCCAACCACACAAGCUUUUUAUAACGAGACAGAGACAUGAAGCGGGGUAUCUAAUGCAUGUCCUUACCAAAAGAAUAGACAACAAAGAACAAACUAACCAAAAAAGAGAAAAAAAAAAAAAAA
rnacentral:misc_RNA from 1 species